GAUAGAGUAGAAUAAGUAAGUUUUUUAGGUUCAUACCCUAAAGGUUUAUCUGUUA
rnacentral:tRNA from 1 species